CUGAGUGAUGAAAAACAGGGGUUGAUCCUGAUUGGCUUGCAAAUGAAGUUCCAAAAGACCGCCCCAAAUUUGCAGGAU